rnacentral:SRP_RNA from 1 species
GUCAGACAUAGUGGCACACACCUGUCGUCCCACCUACUUGGGAAGCUGAGGCAAGAGGAUCACUUGAGCCUAGGAGUUCUGGGCUAUACUGUGCUAUGCCAAUCACUUGUCCACACUAAGUUUGGCUUCAAUAUGGUGACCUCCCAGGAGCAGAGGACCACCAGGUUGCCUAAGGAAGGAUGGACUGGCCCAUGUCCAAAACACAGCAGGUCAAAAACCAUGCUGAUUAGUAGUGGGGUCGUGCCUGUGAUUAGCCAGAACACAACAGCAGAGCACACAGAGCCCACACUA